rnacentral:rRNA from 1 species
GACGAACGCUGGCGGCGUGCUUAAUACAUGCAAGUCGAACGGAAGUAGCAAUACUUUAGUGGCGCACGGGUGAGGAACACGUAGAUGAUCUGCCCUUGAGAUCGAGAUAACCCCGGGAAACUGGGGCUAAUACCGGAUAAUGCAUUAUUAUUGGAUUAAUAAUGUUAAAGCGGCGCAAGUCGCACUUGAGGAUGAGUCUGCGACCUAUCAGCUAGUUGGCGGUGUAAUGGACCACCAAGGCAAAGACGGGUAGCUGAUCUGAGAGGAUGAUCAGCCACACUGGGACUGAGACACGGCCCAGACUCCUACGGGAGGCAGCAGUAGGGAAUAUUGCGCAAUGGGGGAAACCCUGACGCAGCGACGCCGCGUGAGUGAUGAAGGCCUUUCUGGUUGUAAAGCUCUGUAAGGAGGGAAGAAUGUCAGGCAGUAACGUGUCUGAGUGACGGUACCUCCGGAGUAAGGACCGGCUAAAUACGUGCC